rnacentral:rRNA from 1 species
GUAGGUGGCAAGCGUUGUCCGGAAUUAUUGGGCGUAAAGCGCGCGCAGGCGGUUCUUUAAGUCUGAUGUGAAAGCCCACGGCUCAACCGUGGAGGGUCAUUGGAAACUGGAGAACUUGAGUACAGAAGAGGAAAGCGGAAUUCCACGUGUAGCGGUGAAAUGCGUAGAGAUGUGGAGGAACACCAGUGGCGAAGGCGGCUUUCUGGUCUGUAACUGACGCUGAGGCGCGAAAGCGUGGGGAGCAAACAGGAUUAGAUACCCUGGUAGUCCACGCCGUAAACGAUGAGUGCUAAGUGUUAGGGGGUUUCCGCCCCCCUUAGUGCUGCAGCUAACGCAUUAAGCACUCCGCCUGGGAGUACGGCCGCGAGGCUG